rnacentral:rRNA from 1 species
UACGAAGGGGGCUAGCGUUGCUCGGAAUCACUGGGCGUAAAGGGUGCGUAGGCGGGUCUUUAAGUCGAGGGGUGAAAUCCUGGAGCUCAACUCCAGAACUGCCUUUGAUACUGAGGAUCUUGAGUUCGGGAGAGGUGAGUGGAACUGCGAGUGUAGAGGUGAAAUUCGUAGAUAUUCGCAAGAACACCAGUGGCGAAGGCGGCUCACUGGCCCGAUACUGACGCUGAGGCACGAAAGCGUGGGGAGCAAACAGG